rnacentral:rRNA from 1 species
UACGUAGGGUGCGAGCGUUAAUCGGAAUUACUGGGCGUAAAGCGUGCGCAGGCGGUUUUGUAAGCCAGAUGUGAAAUCCCCGGGCUUAACCUGGGAAUGGCAUUUGGGACUGCAAGGCUUGAGUGCGGCAGAGGAGACUGGAAUUCCUGGUGUAGCAGUGAAAUGCGUAGAUAUCAGGAGGAAUACCGAUGGCGAAGGCAGGUCUCUGGGCUGACACUGACGCUCAUGCACGAAAGCGUGGGGAUCAAACAGG